rnacentral:rRNA from 1 species
AGUGAACGCUGGCGGUAGGCCUAACACAUGCAAGUCGAACGGCAGCACAGUAAGAGCUUGCUCUUACGGGUGGCGAGUGGCGGACGGGUGAGGAAUGUAACGGAAUCUACUCUUUCGUGGGGGAUAACGUAGGGAAACUUACGCUAAUACAGCAGACGACCUACGGGGGAAAGCAGGGGAACGUCGGAGCUUGCGCGAAUGAACGAGCCGAUGACGGGCUAGCUAGUGGGGGGGGGAAAGGCCCACCAAGGCGGCGAUCCGUAGCCGGUCUGAGAGGAUGAUCGGCCACAUUGGAACUGGGCCACGGACCAUGCUCCUACGGGAGGCACCAGUGGGGAAUGUUAGACAGUGGGCGCAAGCCUGGUCCAGCCGUCCCGCGUGUGUUAAGAAGGCCUUCGGUUUGUAAAGCCCUUUUGUUGGGUAAGAAAAGCAGCAGGUUAAUACCCCGCUGUUCUGACGGUACCCAAAGAAUAAGCACCGGCUAACUUCGUG